CAGCCGCCGCGGUAAUACGGAGGGUGCAAGCGUUAUCCGGAUUCACUGGGUUUAAAGGGUGCGUAGGCGGAUCUGUAAGUCAGUGGUGAAAUCUCCAGGCUUAACCUGGAAACUGCCGUUGAUACUAUAGGUCUUGAAUUUUGUGGAGGUUAGCGGAAUAUGUCAUGUAGCGGUGAAAUGCAUAGAUAUGACAUAGAACACCAAUUGCGAAGGCCGCUGGCUACACAACUAUUGACGCUGAGGCACGAAAGCGUGGGGAUCAAACAGGAUUAGAUACCCCCGUAGUCCCUGUCUCUUAUAC
rnacentral:rRNA from 1 species